rnacentral:rRNA from 1 species
AUGGCCAUACCAUGCUGAAUAUACCUGUCCUCGUUAGAUCUCCGAAGUCAAGCAUCAUUGGGCGGGGUCAGUACUUGAGUGAGUGACCACCUGGGAACACCGCGUGCCGA